AUGCUUAUCAUCCCACUGGGGAAGCCCGUCAAAGAAAACAGCAGGUCCACAAGGUGCGAGUGUACAGCCAUGAUCAGAUUGUUGAGGUCAUCAGACAAUGGUUGGUACAUAUGCGAACAGCGUACAGUUCACAACCACCGCAUGUCUCUGACUUGCGGAGAGAAGUUGCAUUGGAAAUCACACAGGCACAUUGAUAGGUACACUAGGAAUCUGGUGCAGCAUCUCAGGGAGAAUAACGUUAGUCUUAGCAAGGUCUACAGCAUUGUUGGUAGUUUUUUUGGAACUUUGGAGAAUGUACCAUUCACCAAGAGGUCUUUGCGCACACUGUGUGGCAAGUUGAGCAGGGAGCAAUCGGACAAUGAUGCUACCAAGACAAUAGGUCUCCUCCAAGAUUUAAAAGCAGCAAAUCGUGAUUUUACAUACAACAUCCAGGUCGAUGAAGAGAGCCAUGUAAAAACACUGAUGUGGGCGACGGGUCGGGGAAUCGAGCAGUACAAGUAUUUCGGUGAUGCUAUAACUUUCGACACCACUUACCGGACGAACUUGUACGAUAUGCCUUUUGGCUUAUUUGUUGGAGUAAACAAUCACUUCCAGAGUAUUAUAUUUGGCGGUGUCAUGAUGCGGGACGAGAAGGUCGAAAGUUUCAAAUGGGUGUUCAAGGAGUUUAUCAGAAUGGUUGGUGGGAAGGCUCCACUAACCAUACUAACCGACCAAGCGCGUGCUAUGGAGUUGGCAAUUAAAGCUGAACUACCUGACACAACUCACCGGUGGUGCAAGUGGCACGUUCUUCGGAAGGCGAAGGAGAGCCUUGGAGUACUCUAUGGCAAGAAAUCAGAGUUCAAGACGGACUUCCACAUUCUUGUUCACCAUGUGUUGACGGUGGAAGAAUUUGAGACUGGGUGGAGUGAUAUGCUAACAAAGUAUGGUUUGCAGAAGCAUCCAUUCCUGACUCAGGUUUAUGAAAUGCGGAAGAUGUGGGCAAAACCUUACUUCAUGGGUGUGUUCUGUGCCAAGAUGACUAGUACGCAGAGGAGUGAAAGUGCAAAUCACCUACUAAAGGGAUACAUCCCACCUGGUUGCCCAAUGCAUCUGUUUGUUAAGCAGUUUGAGAAAAUACAGUUCGAUCGCGAGUCUGAGGAGAGUUAUCAGGAAAAGAGGACAUCGAUAGCCGGAAUUGUUUUGAAGGGGAACUUCCCCCUUGAACGGCACGCAAGCAAAAUAUACACCAGAACUAUGUUUGAGCAAUUUGGAGAUGAGUUGUACAAAUCCGGUUCGUACGACAUCGAGGAAGUUGUUUCGCAGAAAAUUUAUUUGGCGAAUUAUGUUGACUCGCCAUCAAGGGAAAAGUGGUGCAAAGCUAGUUUCAAGGUGGAAACAAACGAGUCGAAGGAUGAAUUCAUAUGUGAGUGUGGGUUCUUUGCCCACUCUGGGAUGUUGUGCUGCCACGCGAUUAAGGUUAUACUACACGUCCGUCUGGGUGAGAUUCCAGCGAAACAUGUUGUCAAGCGAUGGACUAGGGAUGCACGGGACAUUCUCCCUGAGGAUCUAGUGAUGUAUCAGAAUGAUCAAGGGCGGCCGAAGUCAGAUACUACAAGACAUACCAAGCUGUAUUUAUCCGCGCUAGAGCUUGUUCGAAUGGGUGACGCAAAUGUACAAUCUUACGAAGCGACCAUGUUACUGCUGCAACAAGCUAAAGCCAAGCUGGCACCAAUUUGUGCGGAACGAGAUGGGAUGGGUGUUGCAGAUAGGGAAGCUGCAGCACUAGCUGAUAGAACGGAAGACGGUGAGUUAGAUGGAGACGACGAUGUCAUCUCUUCAAUCAGCGCCCCGAAACGGAAUAGAGCAAUGGGAAGGCCAACCACAAGCCGCGACAAGCCGCCUUAUGAGAAGCCCGUGAAACGAUCUAGGUUCUGUAAGAUUUGUCGAAAGGAAGGUCAUAAGAGCACCACUUGCCCUGACUGUGGCGACCUUCCAAAACCUCCCAGGAAAGCUCCCAAGUGUUCAAACUGUGGUGUGCUUGGUCACAGGAGGAGCAGCUGUGGCAAGGAAAUACUGUAG
rnacentral:rRNA from 1 species